rnacentral:lncRNA from 1 species
AUGCUGAUGCCCACGCGCCGGUCAGGCUUGCACAUCAGCACAUCGGCCGGCGGGCCUGUGGGCUUUUGUCUGAACACUCGCCCACGGACAGGACUGCCACUCAGAGCACCAACGAGGGAGAAAGGAGAAGAAAGCUCGCUCCCUUCCCAGAAAGGGCUGAAUCAGCACCGAACGCCCUGCCAUGCGCCAGCUCCCUCGCCCAAUCGCAUGCUGGAAGCGACAGGGACCUCUCAAGAAGCUCCCAAGUCACUGCCCCUCCUGGCCACCAUCCCCUCUGACGGCCCCUCGCACCAGCCACGGAGGAGUCAGGCCCUGGGAGUCCCUCAGCAAAGGGACAGACUGGACAGCGAGCCUGAGUGCACAGGAGUGUCCAGAGGCUCCUCCCCCUGCGUCCCGGCACCUGGCUCUGGCCCGCAGGGACCCAGCACCUGCGCCUUUGUUCAAGGAAAGUGCUUCUCCGGUUCCUCCUCCCUGUGCCUCCCUCCUCCGGUUCGCCCCCGCCCUGUGCCUCCCUUUGCUUCUGUCCUCACCCUGGCCUCCCUGCGACCUUGCCAACUGGACCAUCCUCCUGCCUGGCUUCCCUCUCCCCCACACCCACUGCCUCCGGGCCAAGCCCCAGCCCCCCCCCACCCCCCCCCAGCUCUCGGGCAGGCCAGGUUCCCAAAUCAAGGGCCCACUCGCCCCCAUUUCCGACCUGUCCCAUCACCAGGGGCAGCACUGCCACCUGCAGAACCUUCCAGAUGCUCUCUGAGCCCAUCUUCUCCCACCUGGAGUCCCGCAUGA